UUUUACUUAAUAAAAACAGCUUUUAAUUGGAAUGAUACAAAGGAGAUUAGCAUAGCCCCUGUGCAAGGAUGACACACAGAUAUGUGAAGCAUUCCAUAUUUUU